rnacentral:rRNA from 1 species
GUAGGUGGCAAGCGUUGUCCGGAAUUAUUGGGCGUAAAGCGCGCGCAGGCGGUCCUUUAAGUCUGAUGUGAAAGCCCACGGCUCAACCGUGGAGGGUCAUUGGAAACUGGGGGACUUGAGUACAGAAGAGGAAAGCGGAAUUCCAAGUGUAGCGGUGAAAUGCGUAGAGAUUUGGAGGAACACCAGUGGCGAAGGCGGCUUUCUGGUCUGUAACUGACGCUGUGGCGCGAAAGCGUGGGGAGCAAACAGGAUUAGAUACCCUGGUAGUCCACGCCGUAAACGAUGAGUGCUAAGUGUUAGGGGGUUUCCCGCCCCCUUAGUGCUGCAGCUAACGCAUUAAGCACUCCGCCUGGGGAGUACGCCGCAAGGCUG